rnacentral:misc_RNA from 1 species
GAUGAAGAACGUAGCGAAAUGCGAUAAGUAAUGUGAAUUGCAGAAUUCAGUGAAUCAUCGAAUCUUUGAACGCACCUUGCGCCCCUUGGUAUUCCGAGGGGCAUGCCUGUUCGAGCGUCAUUAUAACCCCUCAAGCUCAGCUUGGUGUUGGGGCCUGCUGCACUGGCAGCCCUUAAAAUCAGUGGCGGCGCCAUCUGGCUCUAAGCGUAGUAAUUCUUCUCGCUAUGGAGUCCUGGUGGAUGCUUGCCAUCAACCCCCAAUUUUUCUAUGGUUGACCUCGGAUCAGGUAGGGAUACCCGCUGAACUUAAGCAUAUCAAUAAGCGGAGGA